AUCCUUUUGUAGUUCACAAAUGUGAUGAUCGGGUUUUCAUGUGUAUGUGUUGGAUGUGCCCUACUCAACCCUUGUUACAAAGUUAUCAUCUGUCUGGCA
ensembl:snoRNA